CGCCAGUCUCGCGCGGAACGCUGUCGAGGACGGACGCUUGCCGCGCUUUGUAAUGCGAUCGGACAAUAUAAACUAGUUUUACUUCGAAAUAUCUAGUGCGUUAUUUUUUCAAAUUCACGUGCGUUUGUGGACAACAAUAGUGAUUGUAACAUUCGAUUAACCGUACGGUUUGAUCGGGAGCCGUUGACUUUACUAAAACAAAGCCAUAGUUUGAGGUGAACGUGCUUCAUUAAAUCGUAAAUCACAGAAUAUUGCGGCUCGGCUUCGCGGAAGGACGGGGCACACUGGUCGACAAUGAAUUAGAUAUCGCGCCAACGAUAUCAAAACGAACGUUGGGGAUUUCGCAAAGACAAACAACGGGCCCAUUCACGAACGGCCACCGCGGCCAAUGAUGAGUAAUAAGGUAAGAUAUAUUAUAAGGAACAC